UUAGCAACUGAGCUGAACAGUCACAUGGAGCAUAAGCUCCUGCCAUUUCAGGCCCAAAUCUACUCAUUUGGCACAACCAAAAACAUAAUUUUCUCCACUUCUUGGUGCUGUUGGCGACAGGACAGCAAGAUGGGUCACAAGACAAAGAAACCAAGACCAGACAAACUGCGACAGGGACCAAACAUUGCCGUGCUCCUGCGGCAGACACAUGGGGCAACUGGGCCCAAGAUGGCCGCCUACCCAGAGACCUACUCUGAGCUAUCGGAUGAUUUCGCCUCAGGGGAGGAGGCAGCAGACUUACCCCGGUGCAGAUACCAGCACCGGUCGCCCAGAAAGCUGAUGCUUCGCCGGUGACAACAGCGAUUAUGAAGUCGCUCCUUGCAGACCUCCAGAAAACCAUCCAGGCAGACGUUGCCUCGCUCCGAGCUGACAUCCACAGACUUACAGGACGAAUCAGAGCCUUGGAGUCUGCUUCAAGCAUCUUCACUGGUCAAAUAACCUCACUGCAGCAAGCAGUCCAGGGACUUCAACAACAGAAUGAGGCAUAUGAGCGCCGAUUUGCAGCACUUGAUGACGCGCCGUGACAACAAUCUGAAAAUCAGGGGCAUCCCAGAGGACACCCCAACGGCCAACCUCACUGGGGGCACACUUGCCUGCCAGAGAUCGAUCAGGCCAUUCACUACACUCCUGCGACAACAUGGAAUACAAUACAAAUGGCACCUGACCCAUACACUACUGAUCCUGCACGGAGAAACCAAGCACACUGUGUGUGACCUCCAAGAAGCAGCAGCAUUAUUACCCACCCUGGGACUACCGGAGGACUCUCUUCUCCCCACUGCGAACAGAGGAGCCGCCAAACCGACUCAUCAAUGGAACCCAGAUAGGGUGGUCCCCUUCGUCCCACGUGGAUCCAAGCGAGAUCUGACUGUGGCAAUAAAUACCUGAAGCAUGCAGCUACAUAGCAACCAGAGACCCUCUGUUCAUAAAAUUGAUAUGUAGAUUUGGUUUUUAGUUUAUCACAUAAUGCUAAUGUGCCUUUUGUACCCCUCUGAAUGAAUGGUCCAUCAACCACAUUACUUCUCCCCCCCCCGAACCCAGCUUACUUUGGCCCCACUUUCCAUACUGCUAAAGCCAGGUGUAAUACUUAAUAGCAUGGAGUGCAUCCCUCCUCUAAGGGAGUGACAACUCGAAUUUCACCUAUGCGGUAGUACAGCUCAGGAUGUACCACAUACGUUAAUUGUAUCUAUACAUAGGCUUACCCACAUCCACACAAGUGUUCACUUUAUGACUUUCCUUUUCGUUCUAUUGUUUAAGCUUCUUUUGCUUAAUACAUUAUAUGUGUCUUAGUUAUAUGCUUGCUCUCACUAUAGGCACUAGACAGCCUUUGUAAUUGUUAUGGCAAACUAAUGAUUAAUCUGCUUCAUUUUAUGCCUAGACAUUACUAUUUUGCCUGUUAGAAUGAUAUGGCAGUACCUACACUUGAAAACCUAAGCAUCUAUACUUUAUCCUUUUAACACAUAAGGGCAUUUCACACGAUGUCAGGAUAAACACUCUGAGCGGACUCCUGAUAUAUCACUCAUUCUGCUUUCUACAGCAUAGCAUAUGACAAACCUGUUUAAAAUUAUG